GACGAACCGUGCGAACGUUGUUCGGAAUCACUGGGCUUAAAGGGCGCGUAGGCGGACUGCCAAGUCCGGGGUGAAAUACUUCGGCUUAACCGGAGAAUUGCCUUGGAUACUGGCAGCCUUGAGGGAGGUAGGGGCACUUGGAACUUCCGGUGGAGCGGUGAAAUGCGUUGAUAUCGGAAGGAACGCCGGUGGCGAAAGCGAAGUGCUGGCCCUCUUCUGACGCUGAGGCGCGAAAGCCAGGGGAG
rnacentral:rRNA from 1 species